GACGAACGCUGGCGGCGUGCCUAAUACAUGCAAGUAGAACGCUGAAGGAGGAGCUUGCUCUUCUGGAUGAGUUGCGAACGGGUGAGUAACGCGUAGGUAACCUGCCUGGUAGCGGGGGAUAACUAUUGGAAACGAUAGCUAAUACCGCAUAACAGUAGAUGUUGCAUGACAUUUGCUUAAAAGGUGCAAUUGCAUCACUACCAGAUGGACCUGCGUUGUAUUAGCUAGUUGGUGGGGUAACGGCUCACCAAGGCGACGAUACAUAGCCGACCUGAGAGGGUGAUCGGCCACACUGGGACUGAGACACGGCCCAGACUCCUACGGGAGGCAGCAGUAGGGAAUCUUCGGCAAUGGACGGAGGUCUGACCGAGCAACGCCGCGUGAGUGAAGAAGGUUUUCGGAUCGUAAAGCUCUGUUGUAAGAGAAGAACGAGUGUGAGAGUGGAAAGUUCACACUGUGACGGUAUCUUACCAGAAAGGGACGGCUAACUACGUGCCAGCAGCCGCAGUAA
rnacentral:rRNA from 1 species